rnacentral:rRNA from 1 species
AGUGAACGCUGGCGGUAGGCCUAACACAUGCAAGUCGAACGGCAGCACAGUAAGAGCUUGCUCUUACGGGUGGCGAGUGGCGGACGGGUGAGGAAUACAUCGGAAUCUACUUUUUCGUGGGGGAUAACGUAGGGAAACUUACGCUAAUACCGCAUACGACCUACGGGUGAAAGCAGGGGAUCUUCGGACCUUGCGCGAUUGAAUGAGCCGAUGUCGGAUUAGCUAGUUGGCGGGGUAAAGGCCCACCAAGGCGACGAUCCGUAGCUGGUCUGAGAGGAUGAUCAGCAACACUGGAACUGAGACACGGUCCAGACUCCGACGGGAGGCAGCAGUGGGGAAUAUUGGACAAGGGGCGCAAGCCUGAUCCAGCCAUACCGCGUGGGUGAAGAAGGCCUUCGGGUUGUAAAGCCCUUUUGUUGGGAAAGAAAAGCAGCAGGUUAAUACCCCGCUGUUCUGACGGUACCCAAAGAAUAAGCACCGGCUAACUUCGU